rnacentral:rRNA from 1 species
GACGAACGCUGGCGGCGUGCUUAACACAUGCAAGUCGAACGGAAAGGCCCUGCUUGCAGGGUGCUCGAGUGGCGAACGGGUGAGUAACACGUGGGUGAUCUGCCCCUUAUUUUGGGAUAAGCCUGGGAAACUGGGUCUAAUACUGGAUAGGACCAUGCUGUAGGUGGUGUGGUGGAAAGAUUAGUUUCGGUAAGGGAUGAGCUCGCGGCCUAUCAGCUUGUUGGUGGGGUAAUGGCCUACCAAGGCGUCGACGGGUAGCCGGCCUGAGAGGGUGGACGGCCACAUUGGGACUGAGAUACGGCCCAGACUCCUACGGGAGGCAGCAGUGGGGAAUAUUGCACAAUGGGCGCAAGCCUGAUGCAGCGACGCCGCGUGGGGGAUGGCGGCCUUCGGGUUGUAAACUCCUUUCAGCCAUGACGAAGCCCUUGUGGUGACGGUAGUGGUAGAAGAAGCACCGGCUAACUACGUG